UUUAAGUGUGAAAGAAGCAUUGAUUUUAAGUAUUCAGGUCUGGGAGUGUCCACAAACGGAUCCAUCCAUGUGACUAUUCUCACAAUCAGAAUAUAGAACACUUCCAUGGUCCCCAAAUUCCAUUGUGCCCCUUUUACAGUGAGACCCCAUAUUAGUCAGGAUUCUCCAGGGAAACAGAACCAGUAGGAUAUAUACAGAUAGACAUAAAAGGAAAUUCAUCAUAGGAACUGACUCAUGCAGUUAUGGAGGCAAUAACUCUCAUAACCUUCCAUCUGUAAACUGGAGACCUAGGACAGCCAGUGGUGUAAUUUAACCCAAGUCCAAGGGCUUGAGAACAUGGGGAGCUGAUGGUAUAAGUCCCCAUCCGAUUCUGGAUGUCCAAGAGCCAGGAGCGCCAAAGGAGGAGGGCAGGAGAAGAAGGAUAUCCCAGCUCAGAUAAGGACACAGAGGCUCGGAGAAGAAAAGCAAGCCACUGAAGGUUGCCCAGUGAGGAAACAGGUUCCGUCAUUGCCCAGGCACAUGACUAAGAAGUAGAGAAGGUCAAAUCCCAGCCUGGAUCUAGCUGACCCUAAAGUCCACGGUUUCACCCAAUACUCUGUGAUGAUGGAAGUGAAGCUCAGAAUGAAUGAAGAACCAAAUGAAGACCAGACAGCCAGAGUCAACCAGCCUGGACACUGCCUUGCAUGCUGUGCGUUGUGGCAUAGGGGAAAGAGCUUAAUGUUGAAGUCAAAUCUGGGUUCCAAUCCAUCUCUUAAACUUAGCAGCUGGAUGAGCUUGGGCAAGGUAUUCAAGCCCUGGAGUUAGCUGUGGCAUCUGGAUGGAAAAGGCUGCAAGCAAAAGAAGGCAGAAAGAUCCAGAAUCAGUUAGGAAUCCAGGUUACACUGCUUGCUGCUGUGUUUCCAGGUCUAUCUGGUACAUACUGGCUGAUCAAUAAAUAUCUGUGCAAUGAAAUUAUUAGCUGUGUGACUUUGGGAAAAUUUUUUAACUUUCCUCAAUGCCCUCACAGUGAAAUGCUGGUCAUACUGUGGGGCUUCAGUUUGAGAAGAUUAAAUGAACAAAGAGGGGAAAACCUGGAGAUGUGCAGAAUGAGCUCAACAACAAUUAGUUGACAAUAAAAAUCAAAGUCCUGCUAUGA